UUUCUUACAGAUUUAAAGGGGAAUCAAAACGAUAACCUAGAAUCCAAAGCUCCUCUAAAUGAGUUCUGCUGUUUUUGCCCCUCAGCGAGGCUGCUAAGCGGUGCAGGCGGCACGUUCCUACCGCGUUGACCAGAAGACUAAACCCAGGGCCUUUACCUAACAGCAACACGGCAAAGCGGGAGCUCAGGGAAGCGGGCUAAAGACCUUACCGCAGCCGGCAGCUGGCAGUUUGCAACAGAUUUCCGCAGCAGCAAAGCAGCGAGACAAGCAGCAGAGGGAACGGACAAAGCCUCGGCCAAACGAGCACAUCACCAAGGACCUGAGCGAAAAGGGGGCUGGAGAGAAGGCAGGUAGGACAGAGGGUCAACCUUCAAACGACGGAUGUUCUGCCUUUAAUAAAAGCCUAUCAGUGCCACGGUCAGCUUAGAGUUUCCACAAAGUGUCGCUAAAUGAAGAACUGAAAGUGACCUUCGCCAUGAGAUGUGACCUCAAACCGUGGGUGAGGUUACGGCAAACAGCAGUCCGGGCAGAAGUACGCUUUUGCGGAUAUUCUGCGGAUGUGGGUCUGGGGCUCCACAGGCUGCUGCUCCUGAACAGCGCUUGUCGCUUGGAGGAACGAGGGCUAACAGAAACCCCAGGAGCACGCAGCAGCGCCGUUGGUUUAACAACCUCUUGGCAGGCAGUGCUGCGGCCGAAACCCCCCUCUCCGUCUUUUUUCGGCUCAUUUCCAACUAGAGCAGCUGGGAGACAAGGUGAUAACGGGGAUCAGUGUCUACCAGGUACCUGUAACGAAGGCUCCAGCACGCUUCCUCGCUUGAGGCAAACUCUGUUUCGUGCACAGGCCACAUAAUCUGUGUGCAGAGCAGCUGUGAGAAUCACGUUUGCAAGUAAGGUCAGACUCCUCCUGCAUAAUGGGAUCAAAAAAACAAGGAACUUGCUUAGUUUGCUCAUCGCCUCACUGCAAUCAUUUUGUUAACUACAAGGAAGUAAGCUGACACUGCUUCAUUUAAUCCUGUUUAUUUGGCAAGGACAUGGUUUAGUCAACUUCUCACUGACACUAUUUGAUUUUUGGUCUCAUUCCCAAAAACUUAAAUUAAACAACUUGUUCUUUUAUGCACAGGAAACCUUUCCGUCUCAUGCUGGCUUAGCAUAUUCUCAUUCAAUGAGGCAUUUAUAGCUCCUAUCAAAAUGUAGACACAGGCCACCAAGUAGGCAUCUUGUAAAUCUGUAUUAGUCCAACGUUCUUCAAGCUACCUCAACCACUAAGUAGCUGAAAAAUACCACCCCAAAGGCAUGUGGGAUAGAAUUUUACCUUUCUCCAGAGAAUUACCCAGUGCAACGUGAUGACAGUUCUUCCCCAAAGCUCAGAGAAAUACUAUUCUCCAGUUAAAAUUUGCAUCCAUUCCUCUUCCACCAUCAUUCAUGCACUCACCUCCAUGGUACACAGACUUUAAUUCACAAGUGUGUUCCUGAAAAUACAACAAACACAAUACAACAAAACUGGCAUUUCUCUGUGCACUCACUUUGUAUAUGGAAGGAAGUGUGCAAAGUGCAAAUCAUUUCAAACUGCUUUUUGAAACAUUUCCCUGGAGAAAAUUCUGAUUAACUAUCGGCCGCUUUGCUGACGGACUGACAUUCUCGGAGCGCUGCUCACGGACCCCAAAAGCUGGCACGAUCGGCCCUGCGGCCGAAGGAGGGAGGCCGGCUCUGCCAGCCCCAGCUGCUCCUUGCUCCCACCCCAUUCCUUCUGCCAGCACAAACAUUUGCG
ensembl:lncRNA